rnacentral:rRNA from 1 species
UGUGDAUUGCAGAAUUCAGUGAAUCAUCGAAUCUUUGAACGCACCUUGCGCCCUUUGGUAUUCCGAAGGCACACCUGUUUGAGUGUCGUGA